rnacentral:sRNA from 1 species
UGUGGCAGCAACGCUUGUGGCAGCAGCAGCCAUAGGGAGGCCAGGCGUGGAGGCGGCACCGGGCUCGGAGCUGGCCAGGGUCCCCUCGCCUAUGGAGCACACAGCCACCACAGGCCCCAGGCCUGGACCUCCCCCUCGGCGGGUGGAGAAUGUUGUGCUACCAGCCAAGGACUGGCUGCCAGGACCUCCUGGGGGCACCGCAGUGUGGGCCACCAGCUCGGAAGCAGAGGUCCCACCAGAUCUAGCGCUCAAUAAGGAGCAGCAGUUGCAGAUCUCCAAGGAGCUGGUCGACAUUCAGAUCACAACCCACCACCUACAGGAGCAGCACGAGGCUGAAAUCUUCCAGCUGAAGAGUGAGGUGCAGCCCAAGAACGCCGUGAACCCCGAGAACGAGCAGCACAGCCUGGGGAGCGGCGUGAGUGUGCAGCCACCUAGCUCAGGGGAGAGGGCAGCACCAGAGACCCCAAGCCUACGGUCUCAUCCAGCCAGCCCUGUGUGCCCCACAGCUGCUGGGGGGCCAGGAGCAGCUGCAGGGAGAAGUGAAGUGGGCGCUGGAGCGUCAAGAGGCCCGGCAGCAGGCACUGGAGAUGCGUGUGUGAGUGGCCAUCUCACCUGGGGCCCCAUCCCGGAGCAGAGAGAACUCCUCAUCGUGGGCCUGCUGAGCCUUGCCCCCGUGUCUUCAGGGCAGCCCUGGGCCGGCAGCUGCAGGGAGCCCGAGAGGAGGCCAGGGCAGCCGGGCAGCGACUAGCCACACAGGCUGUGGUGAGGCCCUGCCCUGACUGCUUGGAGACCUGGAGGGUGGGGGUCCCACAAGCUCAGCCGGGGUCCACUCUCAGGACACAGGUUGAGGGCUGCUUCCACCCCAGGUGCUGUGCAGCUGCCGAGGCCAGCUCCAUCAGGCAGAGGCCGAGAACGCCCGGCUGCAGCUGCAGCUCAAGAAACUGAAGGACGAGUAUGUCCUGCGGCUGCAGCACUGCGCCCGGGAGGCAGUGGUGAGCCCUGCAGGAGCACCCUGAGGCCUAGGGAGCCCAAACUUGGCCUGGGUGUGCUGGAUAGCUUCAGGGAGACCCCAGGGCUCUGGCACUGCUCAGCCUGCUGGUGUGGGGGGAUGGUUAGAAAAGAUGGGGGGUGGGUCCCAUGCGGACCCAGCCCGCCACCUCCAGGAGCACGCAGAUGGUACAGGCCAAGCGCCAGCUACCACGGCCCUCCGGACAUUCCUGGAGGCGACUCUGGAGGACAUCCGGGCAGCGCACCGCAGCCGUGAGCAGCAACUGGCCCGGGCUGCCCGCACCUACCACAAGAGGCUGGUGGAUCUCAGCCGCAGGCAUGAGGAGUUGCUGGUUGCCUACAGGUGGGCCCUGCUGGGAUGGGAGGUGUCAGGCAUCUGUGGGUCUCUAAGCCUCUGUGCCUCAAAGGCUUGGUGUGCAGCAGGAGUGGCCCCAGACAGACACUGGCCUACCCUGACAGGGCACCUGGGAACCCCCAAGCUAUUUUUGACGCAGCCAGCUUGGACCUGGAACCAUUGCCCGUGCCCCUGGUCACUGACUUCAGCCAUCGGGAGGACCAGGUGAAGCUAGAGACCCCCAGAAGCUCCAGGCCCAGGUGUCCCCCCACCCACCCACUGCCCCACACUGGCCUUGGCCCCAGAACUUGCCCCAGGCCUCAUCCUGGGCUCAACAGAGACCUCAGCCCUGGGUCUCUGAGGGGCCUGCCUUGCUCAGCCAACUGAAACGUCCCCACCACAAACCUCUGUAGCAUGGGGCACUGCUCUCAUCCCCAAAGAAGGGACCCGGUGGAGCCUCCCAGGGAGGAACGUCAGAGCCACAGUAAGUGCUCUCAUGCGUGUGGGGGAGGCCUGUGGGGGAUGGGCAAAGAGCACAAUGCCUGCACCCUGGGGCCCCCAGUUGCUCCACUAAGCCCCCGCCAAACAGGGUCUGGUCACAGCAACGCACUCAGUGGCACAUCCCCACCCUGGGGUCCCUCCGUGGGUCCCGGGGACACUGAUAAUUACAGGAAAGAGAAGAGGGGCUGCUGCAGGUGGAGCUAGCCUUGAACACAGAGGAUCAGGGAGAGCACACCUGAGGGAAGUUUCCGCUGAGACCUGGAGGGUUCGAGGGGUGGGAGCAGGGUGCCUGGUGACCUGGCCAGCCCUUGCCUCUGGGUCUCCAUGUUCCCAGCUGUACAACAGGCAGGGCUCCCCAAGGACCAUUUCCCAGGGUUUAGGGCACACCCAUGUGGGGGUGGCAUCCCUGUUGAUACUGGAGUCACUGGGCUGGCCUUGUGGUUUAGCCCUCUCCGAGCAGCCAGCAGACUCCCUGGGCCCGGGCUGCCCCCAUACACGGAUGGCUCCAAGGCCUGGGCGGGGGGCCAUAGGAGCACGGGGGGGCCCAUGCCUCCCUCACUGACUCCCAGGUGUCCCCUACCGGCUCUGGGAACCUGACUUAGCACGGUCACAGGUCUGUCCCUGUGUCACCACGCCAGCUCUCAAAACCACUCCUCCUUUCCUCUCCCCUCACAGGGGCCUGGACGCUGCAUCCUGGGCCCAGAUCCACCAGAAGCUCCGGGACUUCUUCCGCAGCACCCAGGUAGGAGGCAAGGGCUGGCCCAGGCCCCUCCUCACACCAUGCCCCAGCUCAUGGCUUACACCCCCAUGCCAGGCAGAGCUGGAACGGGAGCGGGCACAGCUGCUGGUCCGGGCCACGAUGGCUGAAGAGCAACUUUCUGAGCUACAGGAGUACGUGGACCAGCACCUGGGCAGGUGGGCAGAGGGAGCUGGGUGUGAUCCCAGGGCCCUGGUCUGGCCGGAAUGGAGGAUGAUGGCUGCCUUGGGUGCUAGAGGCAGACCUGUCCACAGCUGGGCAGGUGACUUAAGCAUGGUCCCUCUGAGCAGGUACAAACACGAAAUCCUGAGGCUGAGGAAGCUGGCAGGUGCAGGGGACCCCUGGAAAGUGGGGGCUGUGCCUCCAGCCAAGCCCCAGCAUCCAAGGACCGGCAGCCACUAGGCCGUCUCCCAAGGAGCAGAGCAGAGCCCGUCACAGCCAGCACGGAGCCCUCCCACCCAGCCCCCCAUGAAACAUGAGUCAGGAUACAACCC